GGAAGUUCAGUACUGGCGAACGAAGCGCUGUGGGAAACGCUCGUUCAGUAACUUGACGAGUACAUACGUUCUUGUUUGUGGCGUCGCUGAAACAAGUAAACGUUAGUGUUGCUAAUAAUAUUUGACGGUUUAUACCAUUCGUUGGCCCAAUUUGUGAGCCUUCUACAUGCACACCUCAAAUCCCACCACAAUGGGACGAGAACGGGACAGGGAUCGAGACCGUGAACGGUAUCACCGGCAUAGAUCUCAUUCCCGUGAACGAGAACCAGGGAGACGUGACAGAGACCGGGAACGUGAGAGGCGAGAUCGUAGGUCUCGUUCCAGGUCACGGUCAAGAUCCAGAUCUCCUCGAGGUUCCCAUCGAAGGUCUCCUGUUUAUAUGGCAGGACCUUCUGGAAGACAUGAGGAUGGUCCAUCACAAGAACUGUCAGCAGAGGAGAAGCAGAUGCGUGAGGUGCUGGGAUUUGCAUCUUUCCACUCCACAAAAGGUGUUCAACAUUUUGAGACAUGGGGUGCAACCUGUACAGAGGGGAAGAAGAGGGAGGAUUUGCCAGAUUAUGAAGAGUUUCAGAAGUGGGUAGAGAAGAGAAGAGAGAUAAAAUAUGAAGAAAGAAGGAAGGAAUUUGAAGAAAAAAAAGAAGCUUAUCGCAAGGACUUUGAGUCAAGGAAUAAUAGAGGCAGAGGAUGGGAUGGAAGGGGCAGAGGAACUUAUGGUAGAGAUGACAGAAACAGCUAUGGUCGAAAUGACAGAGGUGGUGCAUAUGGUCGAAGUGACAGAGGUGGUGCAUAUGGUCGAGAUGAUAGAGGCUAUAGUCGUGAUGACAGAGAAGGAGGAGGUUAUAGUCGAGAUGACAAAGGAGAAGGAGGAGGUUAUAGUCGAGAUGACAAAGGAGAAGGAGGAGGCUAUGGUCGAAAUGACAGAGGAAGAGGAGGCUAUGGUCGAGAUGACAGAGGAAGAGGAGGCUAUGGACGAGAUGACAGAGGAAAGGGACAGGGUUAUGACAGAGGUGGUGGCCAUGGUCGAGAUCAAGAUGACAGAGGAGGUGGCGGCUAUGGUCGAGAUCGAGAUGACAGAGGAGGUGGCUAUGGUCGAGAUCGAGAUGACAGAGAUGGUGGCUAUGGUCGAGAUCAAGAUGACAGAGAUGGUGGCUAUGGCCGAGAUCAAGAUGACAGAGGUAGUGGCCAUGGCCGAGAGGAAAAAGACCACAGUUAUGGCCAAGAUGACACAGGGGGAAGCAGAGAACAUAAUCAAGGAUAUGACAGAGACAAAGAUGAUUACUCACGCCCACCUAGAAGGCAUUCUCCUGGUGUGAAUUCAGGUCGAGAGUAUUCUUAUUCAAAAAGGGAAUCCAGCUUCAGUCGUGAUCCUUACUAGACAUGAUCUCUCUUACUCCACAGAAGAAAAAGCCUUGCCAGGGAAGUUUCUAGAGGUUUUUCAACAAGGAAGGUUAUGACUGAGCAGAUAACAUCAAGGUUGUAUAAAACUACUGAUCUUCUGAGAAGGAAAUAAUGUUCAUGUUUUACAAGUUUACAGCCUAGAUAAUUAUUAAAUCAAUGGCAUUUAAGUUAGUUAAAAGAAUGAGUUUCUUUUUAAGUUUAGUAUUAAUGAUGUAAAGAGUACAAAAUAGAUCUUGUACUAUUUAUCAAUAACUAGAUUUUGAUAUCACUA
rnacentral:misc_RNA from 1 species